CAGAGAGUAGUUUAAGAUAAAAUGCUAGCUUUGGGGGCUAGAGAUGGGAGUCCCUUUUUGA
rnacentral:tRNA from 1 species